UCGUCUGACUGGGAAGGAACGGCAGUUUGCUGUUUCCUUCUGUUUGACAACAUUCUGGUCGAUGACAGGAGGAUUUAGACACUCUAUAAAUGGGAAUGGAUCAUUAAGCUUCAGCAUCAGUUCCUCGGAAGCUCAACACGAUCGGGCCAGCGCCAUACAACUGCAUCAUUAUAGUUCCCGAAAGACAAAUAUUAAGUUCUUCAAUUUAUAUCAAUCAAUUUUGCGAGCUAGAUAAGUAUCAAGUUAAUCAUCUAGCUACGCUUAAGAAAGGUACUGCAUAAGGUGCUUGGAUUCGUACAACAUCUGAUCAAACUUUUCUUACAUUGAAUAGCACAACAGGAAAAAAGUGUAAAGUGAGUUUGAACGUGGCUUAUCUAGAGUAGAAACGGCUUCCAAUGUCAGUGAGUCGCAUGCUAACGGAGAACUUCACCAUGGUAGAUACAUCGCCCUGGAGGACUAGCAUUAAUUUAAGCUGCUAGCUACGCAUAUGACAGGAUGUCUUAUACACUACCGGCUUGCAAAAUCAGAUUCAACAUCCGAUCGCUGAUGCAUACGACAUGCGAGGGAACCUUUGGAUUGAUCGUCCAUAUGCCUGACCAGGACAAAGGGGGACAGCUGCUUCAGAACGUGAAUGAGAUUAGUUUGGUUUGACCGAGCUCAUAUUAGAAAAGUAGACUUCAGAAAACAACAACAGCUAAGCAACACGUAAGUCAUUGUGCUACCAUUCGGUUUGAUUGAUUUCUUUGAGUUGCAACGACUUAUUCAAUCUGAUUUAACAACCAGACGUGUCUACCUUUACACUUUAUUGUCGGGCGCUUGUUACCCAACACUUGCUGUUGUCACACACAUGCGCGUGCUGCUCGUGGGAGCGCCGCACGACAAUCAGCGUUCAGUCGAAUGAGGACGGGUAUGUUCGUUCCCUUGUCGACAAAGUAUUAAGCAAGCAACCUUUCCUCUUUCAUUUCACUUUGGACAACUUACUUAAGUUAAAGUCUAAGAAGAAAGCGUUGCUUUAUGACGCAACUGUUAUACACUCUUAUCCAGUAAGAUGGGUCUGACAUUGCUAUUAGCACGCCUUACACACCAUUACAAUGCAUUAAGAUUAUCGUCAUCAAUAAGUCCUAGAAGUAAGUACGGGAGGAUGCAAAACGAUCUUUAGAUGAGUAGGAGUUAGGUUACAGAAAAGUAACUAAUAAAAGUUAUAACGC